rnacentral:rRNA from 1 species
GACGAACGCUGGCGGCGUGGAUUAGGCAUGCAAGUCGGACGGUAGGGCUUUAUCGUAAGAUAGAGUUUGAGAGUGGCGAACGGGUGAGUAACACGUAGGAAUCUACCCUUAAGACGGGGACAACCCAGGGAAACUUGGGCUAAUACCGGAUGAGAGUGCGAGAGAUUGCAUUUAAAAGGAUGGCGAAAGUUGUCGCUUAGGGAUGAGCCUGCGGUCUAUUAGUUAGUUGGUGAGGUAAGAGCUCACCAAGGCGACGAUCCGUAGCUGGUCUGAGAGGACGACCAGCCACACUGGAACUGAGACACGGUCCAGACUCCUACGGGAGGCAGCAGUGGGGAAUUUUGGACAAUGGGGGAAACCCUGACCCAGUGACGCCGCGUGCAGGAAGGAGCCCUUCGGGGUGUAAACUGCUGUCGUGUAGGGAGAAGGGUACUAAGGUGAACAAUCUUAGUACUUGACGGUACUACAGGAGGAAGCCCAGGCUAACCUCGUGCCAGCAGCCGCGGUAAACUACGUAGA